CCUAACCCUGGAGGUGUGAGGCGAACGUGCUAACCACUAAGCCACCGUGCCCCCCAGGCAUCAAUACAAUUCAUUAUAAGUUUAAAGCUCCUGACUGAUCAGCUUCAUAUGAUAAUGAUGGGGUAGCUCCUACUAGGAUGACCCCACCUAUAUCCACAGUUCACAAGGGCAAAAAACUGAUGGAAAUCACCAUCACAAGUGUUAUGCAAUGGGAAAUUUCAAUGCAAUGGGUUUUCACAACCCUAUCAUUUAAUUUUAAGGCACUUAGUGACUAAUGUUUAUCUCGUGUUAAAGGCCUAGUGGUGGCAGCUUGGUAAUAAAGAUUUUUCAAUUUACUGCUUUGUCACAUGCCGAUAAGUGACUCACCAGUGAGGCAUAAUAUUUAAUUAAUAGCGUGCAUUCAUCUGCCAGGAUACAUAAACGGUGCAGGCAUUAUCAGUUUAUCAAUCAGUUGUUUUCAGUUUGUUGAUCAUGGAAUAACAGACAAACACCAGCCAGGUCAUUUAGCCUGUUUUAUAAGAUAGCAUGGAUAGAUCUGCAUAUGUGCAAUAUUUUUUUUUUUUUAUUGUUGUUUAUAUAUUUAUUUUUUAUUAAAACAUACAGAUUUGAGAUCAUAGUGCAAUAAAUAGUGGGAGAAAAUAAAUUAUGAUAUAAAACACAACAAACACAAAAAUCUAUUGUUUUUUGUAAUGUGCAUUUACAGACCUAUACUGCCAUCUAGUGGAUAUAAUCAACAGAGGGGAGGGAGAUUUUUCUUUUCAUUUACACCACAUCCAGAAGUGUUUUAGUCCCUUUACUUCCAGAGCAGUUUUGUAUGCUUACUAAGUUUAAAUCAUUACAUAAACAUACGCCAGAUAUUUCCACUUCUCAAAUACGUUAUAGCAGCUAUAAAGAUAAAAGCUGUUACUUCAACAGCUUUCCUUUAUUCUGUCUUUUGAAUUUUAAAGCCAAGACAAAACAAAAACAAACAAACAAUCAAAUAAACAAACAAACAAAAACUCAUUGUCAUGUUACAGAGAGACUGAAAAAAUUUUAAACUCCGCUGCUGCGCUAAAUAUGUCGGAAAGCUUUAAAGUUACAGCUGUCACAAAUCCCUGACACUGGAGACUCCUUCCACAUGUUAAACGUCUCAUCUUUAAUGUUAAUACUGAAAAUUCAACUUCACUGGAAUUGAAAUUAAAUCUAAUCAAAGACCAUAUUACAUAGCAAGCAAAAAUAGGUUCAAAACUUGCUCCUGUGUUCGGGCAGCAUCUUAAAUAAAAAUUUUGAAAAUUAUUUAGCUGCUUAUAUACUCGUUUCUCUUAAUGUAUAAACAUAAUGUAUAAACGGGUGAGUAAAUCUUAAUACCAGGAUUAUAAUGGCUGCUUUUCAGUCAGCUUGUAAUGUGAGCAGAACUGAGUAAUAAAUUAAACACACCUGUGAGUUACUAAUUAGAGCUGCAAGGUAUCUUUUAAAGGACGUAUCCAGCUCACACUCAGCUUGCAAAGUCGUAAUUACGACCUGGACGCGUCAGUAAGAAAGCGUGGUGGAAUAAAUGGAUGGAAAAAUAAAAGGAUAUAAUAUUAUAUUAGGAGAACAUAAAGCUCAAUCUUCUUCCGACCAAAGUGACUGAACCACCCUGGAGAACUCGAGAGCACAGAAACACGACGUCGUUUCAAGACCUUCUCAAAUCCUACCGAGAGGGUGAAAUCAAACAGGUCCAGCAGCAUUGGAAGUUAGUUCAUGUCUAUAACGUUCCAUCAUGUAGUACAUGGCAUAAGGACAUUUUGUAGAAAUAAAUAUUGUCUAAAGUAAUCAUUUAUUAGCUAUUAUUUGUAUUUUCUUUGGAAGUGUUCCAAAAUGAUAAUGUAACCUACAAAUCUGUACUAGUGUAAUCAUUUCGCAUCAGAAUAAAAAUGAGAGAUAUCGA